rnacentral:rRNA from 1 species
UACGGGGGGGGCAAGCGUUGUUCGGAAUUACUGGGCGUAAAGCGCGUGUAGGCGGGUGAUCAAGUCGGAUGUGAAAGCCCUGGCUCAACCCAGGAAGUGCGUUCGAAACUGCAGAGCUUGAGUGCCGGAGGAGGGUGGCGGAAUUCCCCAAGUGAGAGGUGGAAAUUCGUAAGAUAUUCGCAAGAACACCAGUGGCGAAGGCGGC